rnacentral:lncRNA from 1 species
GUGAUGGUGCAAAGUAGCACUUGGAUAAAGUGUUCAGAUGCGAAUCCAGCCCUGUCUGCCUUGGGUCAGUCCAGUGUUUGGUCUGAGUCUCCGUGGCUGUGGUUGACAGUGACUGGGUUUGCACAGGAGGUCCCCGGAGCUCACUGACAGCACCCACAUCUGCAGGCCUCUCUCGCUGUCUUGCCCCUGCUGUCCUUGUAUCUGAGUGGCUAAGGACCGACCUGGACCCCCAUGGUGAGGAUGGUUGUCUCCAAACUGGCAAAAGAGAGGUGAAAAAUUCAGUUCCCACACAUGAGCUCCUGGCUCUGGUGUCCGGGAGUCCUGAGGAGCUGGUUGGAUUUUGUCUUGCCCGGAGAACUGUGGUAGCUUUGGCUCCUGUGUAACUCCUGCAAGAGCAAUUCCAUUCCCCAGGUACUGCUGGCUGGCACCCGAGAGGAUGUGAGGCUGGAGUCUGACGGGUGUUUGUUGGGUGGGUAAAUGCCAUGGGCUGGUAGCACAGCCUCAGGCUCAGACAGACCUGCAUUCUGUCCCAGCAGCAGGAUCCAUGAGCUCUGCACACCUCAAGCUGAUCUGACUGAAGAUCACGCCUUUUACGCAUGAGUCCAUCCCGAAAACUGACGAUAGAAAGUAUCUGGAAGCACAGUACAGUUUCCGGACUCCAGGGCACAGGUCCAGCCAGUCAGUGCUCGACGUCCCCCUCCUGGGUCCCCCCUGUGGCCCCAGUGAAAACAACCUGGCUUUGUGUCCCACCAGUGGCUGCCACUGGGGCAAGGAAACUCCUGCCUGGCGUUGGGCCGGGAGGCCUGGGCACCGGAGGAAGCUGGCUGCGGGGCACGGCAGGAGGGAGCAGUGAGGUGUCCUCACCAAGCAGCCUGCGCCCAGAGCACGGCCGGUGGUGCAGAGGACGUCUGUCUUCCUGCAUGCAGCCGGAGCUCCACGCAGCCCCUGAGUCAGGGCUGCACCCGGAGAACCAGAGCCGCAAGCUGCCCGGCCCCAGGAGCCUCUGA